ensembl:lncRNA
AUGGCAUUUCAAUGCCAGGAGCGAAAUACGUGCAUUUUGACAGGAAACAUUGCAAAAGUUAAAUCAGAUUUAAAGGGACAAUUUACUCAAUUUUUUUUUCCCUGUGGAACACAAAAAAAAAAUAUUAGAAUAUUUAUGAAAAAUGUCUCUUUGUAAUCAGUAGAGUCCAAAUGCUGUUUUGGACCCCACUGACAUUCACUGUAAGAACAAAAACAUUCAUCAAAUUAUUUUAUUUUGUGUCUCACUGAAAAACGGAAGUCAUACAUGUUUGGAACAACAUCAGGAUGACCAUUUUGACAAAUGAUGACAAUUUUCAUUUUUGGGUGAACUGUCCCUUUAAACUAUGGUGCAACUCUGUGGCAUAAUUUAGUUUAUAACAGAAAUACUUGUCUGACAGCUUGGAAACAAAUUUGAAGACCAAAUAUGUUGAUUGAAAUCCACUUACAAAGCAAGUUCAUUGAGAAAAAUGGAGCUGCAUUAUAAGCAGGUGACUGUCGACAUGCUUUUUUUUUUUUUUAAAGUACAUUUCCUGUUGUAAUCAACAGCAUGCGAUGGAGAAUGUUGAUGGAGCUUAAGUUAUAUUUAACUCAGAACAUUCCUUUAAGGCAAAGCUUGAUUAGAACUCCAAACUUAACUAUUUCUUAUUCUGGUAAAGCAUAGUAAUCAAGUAUAAUUUAUUGAAGUGCAAGUCUGCUACCCCUUGUGGCUAGUCCCUCCUCGCUGACAUAGACAUAGCGAUGUAUGAAAGACCGGGUUACAUUAUUUGGCUGAGGAUUUGUCACCUCAAAUUGUCAUUACUGUCAUCGCUGCUGCACUAAUCCCAUCAUUACACAGGGGAUCCCCAGGAAGAGUUUAGAACGGAACAAAAAAUGAAAGGGUGAGCUGUAGGAGGAAGGCAAACGGGUAACAAUUGUUGCAUUAAGCUCAGGAUGAAGCGAAUCACCUGUUUUCAGCUUGAGAGUGCAAAAUGUUCAGGUAGGAAAUAACAUAAUACAUAUCAAUCGUCAUCAAGUAACUUCCCCACAGACACACCACACAAAAUGACCGUCCCGAUCCAAUCAGUUUAUGGGGGGUGUGUCUAGUGUCAUGUCCUGAAUGAUGAAAAAGUCUUGAUUUCAGUGAAAGUUCAUGAAGAUCACCACAGACACUGUUUAAA